rnacentral:tRNA from 1 species
GUUCCCUUCGUCUAGCGGUUAGGACAUCGCCCUUUCACGGCGGUAACAGGGGUUCGAACCCCCUAGGGAACGCCA